rnacentral:rRNA from 1 species
AUACGUAGGGAGCGAGCGUUGUCCGGAAUUACUGGGUGUAAAGGGAGCGUAGGCGGGACUGCAAGUCAGAUGUGAAAUACCGGGGCUUAACCCCGGAGCUGCAUUUGAAACUGUGGUUCUUGAGUGAAGUAGAGGCAAGCGGAAUUCCUGGUGUAGCGGUGAAAUGCGUAGAUAUCAGGAGGAACACCGGUGGCGAAGGCGGCUUGCUUGGCUUAUACUGACGCUGAGGCUCGAAAGCGUGGGUAGCAAACAGGAUUAGAUACCCUGGUAGUCCACGCUGUAAACGAUGAUUACUAGGUGUGGGGGGACUGACCCCUUCCGUGCCCCAGUUAACACAAUAAGUAAUCCACCUGGGGAGUACGGCCGCAAGGUUGAAACUCAAAUGAAUUGACGGGG